UUUCACUCCAGUCCUGUUUUAUUUCAUCGUCCGUUAAAUUGAAAUUUAAUAUCUUAUGAAAGCAUAAGUAAUAGGAGUACUAUAACUAACAAGUCACUUGCUUUCUCUCUAAACUUUCUCGAUCAAGAGAAAUUCAAUUCAAUGCAGAUCGAAGAACAAAGUCAUCUGUUUACUUUAGGCCGUUCACUGAGGUUUCGUUCAGAAGUGCAGUAUGAACUAGCGGAAGAUCCCUACUACAAAUCUUUCAUGACAGCCAUAACUGACAUGUCGUCGAAUGAUCCCAACCCUGGUGACGCUAGUGAUUCAGAAGUCUAUACCUGCUUUAAAAACACCCAUGCCUGGUAUAAGACUCAAAAGAGCUUUGGUAAAUUUGAAAAUACCUUAAAGGUUGUGCACUUUGACAAGCAGAAUUCAGUUAUAUUAACUGAAAAAGUAGAUAUGUCUUUGCAUGAAUGGCUUGCCUGAGAAUUAGAUGGAUUUAAGUCUAAGGCAGCUAACCUUUAUAGUAAACCAAAUCGUUCUAUAAUUUGGUGGGCAAAGAUCAAGCCGAAUUUCGUGUCCAUUUUUGGCUCUAUCAUUCGUGGUCUGAGAGCACUCCACAAAGACGGCAAAUAUCAUGGUAACUUAUUGAAGGGAGUUGCUAUUAAAGACUUUGAAAGGCAUAUUGUUUAACAUGGUUCAAGGUCCUACUUAGAGUUAUCUCACGAGUCAGACUCAAGACAUCAUCAGGCUUGAUAGUUUAAUUAGAUGGGUGUUAAUGUACCCAUUUUUACAACAAGAACAUGUUCCUGCCCUUCCAAAAUUUGUGGAUGAAUGUGAGCGCUUAUGUUUCUUGCAACUAAAUCACAGGAUUGAAAAUGAAUUGCCCUUUGGUAAUGAGUUUCAGAAGAUGUUGUAGGUAGCUUCUUUGAUCUCAAAGAUGACCCUCGCUUCAUCCCAUGCUUUCCCAUCGAAGAUAAUCUUGUUCCGUGUCCUCCAAAUGAUCGACCCUGAAGCCAUAAGAGCAAUCCUCUUUGCCGUUUGAACAAUCUGAGAUCCUUGAAUCUGCCGUCCUGCCCAUUUGAUGACGCUCCUAAUUGUCGUCGAUCUCCUCGCAAUGCCAAGCCAAAGCAUAAUCUUUCCCCAAACUGUCCAAGUCUUUGUGCACUUGAAAAAGAGAUGGUCUGCCGAUUCCUCCUCUCGGCGACAAAGCUGACAAGUAAGGGUCCAGAUUCUCCAAGAAGUGUAGGUGAUCUCGUGUGGAAAGGCGUCCUCGAAGCGCGAUCCAAGUAAUGAGCGAGUACUUAGGAGGGACAAAGUCCUUCCAGACAUACUUAGCCCAGAAUCGUCUCUCACCUCUCGGCCUAAACCAAUCAUAUGCCUCAUGGACCCUUAUAAUUCAAUCACUAGCAGCAAAUCUAGGAGUCAGCACUGGUCUUCAUACUGUCGGCAUCCAUCUUUGUUUCAAGGAGGCCGAUGACAUCCACUUUGUUUUGUUUGAUGAAGUCUACAACUGACGGUUGCUUCUUGGGGCGCUUUAUACCCCUCACAUUCCAGGUUGUAACUAUCAUCAACAUUUCUUAGAUUCGGAUCCACCCUUCCUGCUCUUUUUCUUGUUGGAAGUUUGAUGACCAUGCUUUUGAUUCCUUCCAUUUUUAGCAUGUAUAAUUUUCUGAAUAGCUUGUGCAGCUACCUCUUCUACAGAGUUUGAGGAUUUAGGCUUUGCUGCUUUCCCACCCUUUAGGAAGCGGGGUAACUUCCUGGUCUUGCUCUUCAAUAGAUGUAGUUGCCUCUUCCGGCUGGGGCGUGUCUUUCACUCUUUCUGAAACAAAGGAAGCAGCAUCAGAAAAAUCGGAAGGGGAAGAAAGAUCAGAGUUACCUUUCACUCCAAUAGCUUGAUGCAUUCUUCUUGAUAAGUAAAAGUGGUUGUUUUGCUACUCGUAAGGUGUGUAUGUAAUA